rnacentral:rRNA from 1 species
GACGAACCGAGCGAACGUUGUUCGGAAUAACUGGGCUUAAAGGGUGCGUAGGUGGCGCCGUAAGUCGGGUGUGAAAUUUCGGAGCUUAACUCCGAAACUGCAUUCGAUACUGCGGUGCUUGAGGACUGGAGAGGAGACUGGAAUUCAUGGUGUAGCAGUGAAAUGCGUAGAGAUCAUGAGGAAGACCAGUGGCGAAGGCGGGUCUCUGGACAGUUCCUGACACUGAGGCACGAAGGCCAGGGGAGCAAACGGG